UUAAAUCUUGUGUCCCUGCCGUAAGGCUUUACUGCCACACACGCUAGCUUAAUUUAAUUUGUCCUUAGUCGAAAGACACCUGUUGUUAUGUCCUGUUAUUUGUAUAUGUGUGACAUUUGGGGGUUUUUCCAUCCUUAUUUCCAUAUACAUUCGCUGCUUUCUUCCAAGGAAUGUAAUGGUCUUAGUUUAGUUUUCCUUGGAGCAAUCUCGAGUAUAGCAACUCACACACACACAAACAUACGCACACAUAUAUACAAUUCUCCAUACAUUCAAAUAACCAUAUGCAUACUCUCCCGCAAAUAUUUUACCCAUAAACACACCAAACAUUCACAUACACACAGGCUUGCAUACAAUUGACCCUUACACUAAAAAUUCAAGCAAUUUUGUUUGAACAGGUUUAUCUUUUGGGAUUUUGUGUCGCUAAAGUGUAGAAAGUUUUUUUUUUUUUUUUAGAGCAUUUUUAUGUAAAUUUUCAAAAACUUCUGGGUGACCAUCUUCAUGAAAUGUCGCAGUAUAGGAUGGGGCCCAAUUGGGAGCAAUCACUUCAAUUGGCUUAAGGCUGGCCCUGAGUAUAGUAACUAUAUUUUCUCUCUAUAUUAUACACAGUAUUUCUCACUAAUACUUCAUUGAUGUCAUACUUAUUUCUGAACUCUAAAUCAUUUUUUAAGAUGUAAUGGUAAAAAAAAAAAUUUGAGUUUUAAUUCUAUAUCAUUAUUAUCAAUUUAUUUUUCAGUAUCCAAGUGUGUUUUGGUUUGACAGUUUUGUAUUUGCCAGUCUAACCCCCAGAGUACUAAUAUAAUAUAGAGCAGUUGAUGUUAUAACAUUGAAAUGCCCAAAACUUUAAACUCACAAUGAAUUGUGUGAAUGUACAGAAAAUUUUAAAUAUUUUAAGCCUUGUUUUUUUUUAUUUUUAAAUAAUCAUGAAUUAUAAAUAUUUACAUUUAGCUUUCAAAUAAUCUAAAAAAAGGAAAUCCAUUUCAUGUAUAACUUUUAAUUAAGACAUGGCUCUUUUAAAUACUUGGCUGUUCCCUUCAAAUCUGAGGUCCUGUGCUUACGUAAAUUAUCAAAAUAGUCCAGUACAUAAAUGAUUCAUCAUUUGAAGUAAAAACUUUUUAAAUUUAUACAAAACUUUACCAAAUACAUUUUUCUUUCUAAAUAUUUGAAAAAUGCCAGGUGAAAAUAUUGUAGUGGUUGCUUAGUUUGUUAUUCUUUAUACAUCACAGGGUUUCAGUCAUUGCUUAUUCCUGAUUUUUAAAUAAAUUUUUUUUUUUUUUAUAGGAUUAAAUAAAUUACGCACCUUUCCUUAGAUAGGUUUCUGUUAUACAAAUAGCAAUUAUCCUUCCUAGAACAAGAUUUAAUUCACUAUACCAAGCUCACAAAACUUAGAGUAAAUUUCUCUACCUAACCAUUUUAUUUGCUUAGAGCUUGAAAAAUUUUAACCCUUAAAAAGUUAACUCUUUUUCCAAAGA